AUUGAACGCUAGCGGUAUGCUUUACACCUGCAAGUCGAACGAGUGGCGGACGGGUGAGUAAUAUAUCGGAACGUGGCCAAUAGCGGGGGAUAACUACUCGAAACUGUGGCUAAUCCCGCAUACUAUUGGAUCGGCCUAUAUGGGAUUAGCUAUUUGGUGGGGUAAAGGCUCACCAAGCCAACGAUCCGUAGCUGGUUUGAGAGGAAGACCAGUCACACUGGGACUGAGAGACGGCCCAGACUCCUACGGGAGGCAGCAGUGGGGAAUUGUGGACAAUGGGGGCAACCCUGAUCCAGCCAUGCCGCGUGUAUGAGAAGGCCUUCGGGUUGUAAAGUACUUUUGGCAGAGAAGCGGUAACUACAGAAGAAGCACCGGCUAACUACGUGCCAGCAGCCGCGGUAAUAC
rnacentral:rRNA from 1 species